UCGGGUAUGGUGUAACGGCUAACAUUGCCGCCUCUCAUUUCCUUUGUGAGUGUCGCGGCAGCUCGGGGUUCGAUUCCCCGUACCCGAA